rnacentral:rRNA from 1 species
GAUGAACGCUGGCGGCGUGCCUAAUACAUGCAAGUCGAGCGAACGGACGAGAAGCUUGCUUCUCUGAUGUUAGCGGCGGACGGGUGAGUAACACGUGGAUAACCUACCUAUAAGACUGGGAUAACUUCGGGAAACCGGAGCUAAUACCGGAUAAUAUUUUGAACCGCAUGGUUCAAAAGUGAAAGACGGUCUUGCUGUCACUUAUAGAUGGAUCCGCGCUGCAUUAGCUAGUUGGUAAGGUAACGGCUUACCAAGGCAACUAUGCAUAGCCGACCUGAGAGGGUGAUAGGCCACACUGGAACUGAGACACGGUCCAGACUCCUACGGGAGGCAGCAGUAGGGAAUCUUCCGCAAUGGGCGAAAGCCUGACGGAGCAACGCCGCGUGAGUGAUGAAGGUCUUCGGAUCGUAAAACUCUGUUAUUAGGGAAGAACAUAUGUGUAAGUAACUGUGCACAUCUUGACGGUACCUAAUCAGAAAGCCACGGCUAACUACGUG